rnacentral:misc_RNA from 1 species
GUUUGCGAUGCCCUUAAACAAGGAAAUGAGCUUCCAUCUGAACUCGUUCAAACUUUGCUUAAGAUGGCACCAACUGCUGAUGAAGAAUUGAAGCUGAGGCUCUACAAUGGGGAUCUCUCUCGGCUUGGGCCUGCGGAACGAUUCCUGAAAGUCUUGGUUGAUAUUCCAUUUGCCUUCAAGAGACUAGAAUCCUUGCUCUUUAUGUGCAGUCUUGAGGAGGAGGCAUCAAUGGCUAAAGAAUCAUUUGCUACCUUGGAGGCUGCUUGCACAGAACUUCGGAAGAGCAGGUUGUUUCACAAACUCCUUGAGGCGGUUUUGAAAACUGGCA